GAUGAACGCUGGCGGCGUGCCUAAUACAUGCAAGUCGAGCGAAUGGAUUAAGAGCUUGCUCUUAUGAAGUUAGCGGCGGACGGGUGAGUAACACGUGGGUAACCUGCCCAUAAGACUGGGAUAACUCCGGGAAACCGGGGCUAAUACCGGAUAACAUUUUGAACCGCAUGGUUCGAAAUUGAAAGGCGGCUUCGGCUGUCACUUAUGGAUGGACCCGCGUCGCAUUAGCUAGUUGGUGAGGUAACGGCUCACCAAGGCAACGAUGCGUAGCCGACCUGGGAAGGUGAUCGGCCACACUGGGACUGAGACACGGCCCGGACUCCUACGGGAGGCAGCAGUAGGGAAUCUUCCGCAAUGGACGAAAGUCUGACGGAGCAACGCCGCGUGAGUGAUGAAGGCUUUCGGGUCGUAAAACUCUGUUGUUAGGGAAGAACAAGUGCUAGUUGAAUAAGCUGGCACCUUGACGGUACCUAACCAGAAAGCCACGGCUAACUUCGUGCCAGCAGCCGCGGUAA
rnacentral:rRNA from 1 species